AUUAAUCAAAUUCUUAAAUGCAUAAACAUAUGUAAGUCUGUUAUGUGAUUCAUUUAGUUGGUCGAUUAGCUUUGACACAUUUCGGUUCCCGGUUAAAUAUCAAAUAUGAUGUCUUGGGACCAUUUUUGGUUCCAAGUUUUCCGCAGUUGCGUGUCGUUACCUUGUUAUAAGGUGAAACAUUUUUCUUCUCUUAGAUUGUGUCCUCAGAACGUGUUGAAGUAAUUGCCUCAAUCUUGAUUUUUAAGGCAAUGGAUGAAGACAUAGUUCUCUAGACCUAUAUUUAGAACUAUAAUUUAAUGCGAUGUUGUACAAAUUUAUUUUAUGGACAGCUCAUUUUAGCUUUUCUCUAAUGCCAGAUGCAAGGAGUGGUAAACUUUUUUGGCCGCAUUUCAAUUCUUAUUGACCAAAAUACUCGAGCCUUCCACAUGUUUAUGACAGCGCUUCUUCAGCUUUUCGAUCGAUCUGGAAUGUUAUAUGGUGAGCUUGCUAGAUUUGUGUUGAGCUUGCUGGGGAUCAGGACAAAGCCCAGGAAAGUCCACCCACCAGGCCCUGACGGACUUCCACUUCCUGGACCGGGCAACCCUCAUGCCGUUCGGGGCUACAGUGAGGAACCAAAGGCCGCUCCGACUGGUUCUUGGAACAAUGUUUGGGAAAAUGAUGCCUCUAGAUAAUGUUGGAUCAGCUACUUUGCCUGAGUGCACACAAAUCGGUCAAGAACGCAAUUCCUGUGCGUGAGUGCGUGCGUGUGUGGAUUUCUCGAGCGGACUGGAUCUCUGUUGUGCUUUAGUGUAAUUUGUUAUCGUGCAGAAAGCACAUAUGAUAAAUAAUAAAAGUGCGAUGGCUUGGUUGAGAAAUCUUGAUUAUAGUCGCAAUAGCUACUGGAAUGUGUUGAGUGAGAACUCAUUCCUGUUAAUUAUGUUGCACCAGUGAAUGUGUUGGAAACAGCAAAUUAAAGAUUUGUUUUGGGAGGGUUGGACUGGCAAGAAUAUAGACCAUUGGGAAAUGAUUUUCAAUGGCGGUUGUUCGCGUA